rnacentral:lncRNA from 1 species
GCUGUGCAAGGUGGAUCAGGUCGUUAGAAAAUCUCAAGUCAUGACUAAGAUCAAAAAGGGGUAGCACGUCGAGAGUAAUGAAAACACAACAAAGACCAGAACUGUCAAAACUAUGGAUUGAGUAACCACUCGAGAAAGGGAAAUGGGCUGGGCAUAAAUAAGGCGUGGAGUUGUUGCCGGCUUUUUAUUUGUGGCACUCUCGAACAGAUUGCAGAUCAUGGGUUCCUUCAUUUUUCAAGUCAAAAAAAGUAGGUACUCUUUUGGUGCCAAACAGCCCAGAUGGAGUUUCCUGAUUUCACACCUGUUUUUCUCCACCAUUUUCACACGAUAUAUCUCACAAGGAAGGAAACAAGAUGAAAUGAGAAAAACCACCUCAGCCGUAAGUAUGCGUGUUGGGCAAGAUCCAAUGGUUACUAGCAACCCGAUGCUCAUCUUGAUUAAAGAAGAAUUUGCCGUCAAAUUCUUAAAUGAUCCAGAAGCAGUGUGGGGCAUUAAUUAUCCAAAAAGGCAAUGGACCCUUCCUGCACCCCAAGGCCAGCCCCACACUCUCUUGCAUCGCAUCCAUCCUCUUAAAUUUUUUAGCAAGACAUUAAGACGGUGACAGCUAGCCUACGCCUAAGCCCAGGCCUAUACAAAACUACUGAUAAAUCCUCGAACACGUGGUUGAGUAGUUUAUCCAUCUUUUUUUUGGUGAGAGGAACAGUGAAAAAACAUAAAAAUGUUCCUGAUUACACGAUUCUGAUCCAAUAUUCCAGCUUCGACAGCUAUGUCGGGCAGCCAAAUCAAAGUAAAAAGAACUGAAAGAAGGAACGACUACCUUUCUUACAAAAAACUAAAAUAAAAUGAUUCAUGUUAAUAUUGUUUUUCUUGAUCAUACUAGACUAGCAGGGCGAGAUGGGUUUCUAAUUAAAUUAAGCUUCCUUCCUAGCUACCUCUGCAACGUCAAGUUUUUUGUCUUUUUCUUUUUUUAAAGAAUUAUUAGUCUAUCAAAGAAAAUAAAAGAGAAAAAGACAAGAAAUUGUAUAUAUAGAUUUGCAUGCAUACAUACACACCUUAAUUAGUGUUGUGUAGAGCAGCUGAACUGAGAGAUCUUGUGCAAUAAUGGAGAAAGUCUUAGCUUUAUCUGUUUCUAACUUUACAACUGAAGAAGAUGAAGAAGAAGAAGAAUAUUAUUAUUAUCUAAGUAGUUGAAUACAAGAUUGCCAAGGUAGCGCGCUCAAGUCAAAGUGAAGAUACAAACGACACCAAUCUCUCUCUCUCUAUCUCUCUAAAAAUUCUAAAGGGAAGGAAGAAUAGUGAGAAGGAAGAAGGAGAACGAAAGUCGUUUCAAAAACCAAUAAAAAAAUAUGGCAGAAACGCGGUUCUACACUCUUCAACUCUGUCCUUUGACGGUAAGGAAUCCAAUAUAAAUUUCAGCCCUUUUUUUAUCUCAAUCUGGCAACUUGAGCUCUACAUUCAUAAUCUGAUCAAUUGAGCCCAGAUGGAUUCAAAUGUUACUCGAUUUCAAAGCAAUUGAUACUCACCAUAAAAAGUUAAAAACCAUGGCAAAUCAUUUCCCUUUCAAUUAUAGUCUAAUGGCAAUGAGAGCAGUGUUUUCAGGAGUAUAUAUAUUCUUACCAGAGAAUGGCUUUGGAAGACAAUAAUAUGUAUAGAUCGGAGUGCCUUGCUGGAUGAAUGGAUACAGAGGAAGGCACUACUUGUCUUGUCAUCCAUGAGAGCCUAGAAAUAAAAUUAACUGUUGAUUUCUAUUCUUGCAUUUAUAUUAUAUUUGUUUUUGUAUUUUAAAAAUGUUUUAAAAAAAAUUAAUUUUUUUUAUUUUUUUGUUUUAAAUUAAUAUUUUUAAUGUUUUUAAAUAAUUUUGAUGAGCUGAUAUCAAAAAUAAUUUUAAAAAAUAUUAUUUUGAUAUAUUUUUAAAUAAAAAAUAUUUUAAAAAAUAAUCACAACCAUAUUCUUAAAUAUAUUAAAUAAUAUUUAUGUAGUUCUAUUUAUUAAGGGUAGAAUAAUACUUUCAGUUUAAUCUAUAUAUACUUUAUUUGUAUUUAGGUUAAGACUAAGCAUUCAUAAUAUACAAAUUAUUUAGAAUUCUAAUAUUUUUUUUAUAUUUGAUCUUAAUUAUUUUAAUAUGGUAUCUGAGCUUGUUUUGAAAAUUCAUAAUAUACGUUAUGGGUUUCGAAAAUGCGGUGGAUAAGCGGAAGGCCUUGCAGGAGAUGUUUAGAGUACUGAGACCAGGUCCUAUCUUCUUCCCUCUUAUUUGAAUUAACAAAUCGUGACAUUUCUCACCCUUGUGUUGAUAUACAAGUUCUAAAGCAUCAGUCCUUGAUUUUAAUUGCAAAAUGAAGAGUGCUUUUCUGUCUUUUUUUUUUCUCUCCAUGUUUGUCGAUAUAAUGUGCUUGGACUCAGAGGAAUGAAAUCCGAUCCUUAGCAACGAAUGCUUUUGCAUUAAUAAUUGUCCUUUUAUCUAUGAUGAUUGAUAACUGUAGGCGGAAGAACUUGCUCUGGAAAUAGGAUUUUGUACUGCCAAACACUAUGAGAUUAGUGGGGGCCUAAUGGGGAAUGUAGUAGCCACGCGCUAGAUGAGGUUGGUUCUCAGUUUUUAACAGCAUGUUUUCAAAGUUUUUGUUUGGGAAGGACAUAUUAUAUAUAGGGGUGGAUGAUUUUUAUGUUUAGAAUGUUUACUGCAACUCAGGCAUUACAAAUGAUAAGCUAAAAGCCACCAACAAUCUGGCUCCAUGGAUGAUGAAUUUCCGUUGUAUUAUUUUUCGACGGGAGCUUCCUGCCCAAGAGCAUCCUUGAUGGAAGAGGAAAUGCAUGUCAACCCCUCAAUCAAGAAGUUUGUAUUCUUACAUGAUUUUUAUUUUCAAAAAGAUCUUAAAACUUGUAAUUCUAGUUUCCUCAGCUAGAUUUGUUUAUUUAAUCCUACAAAAUUUUCUAAAUCAGUCUGUAAAACUUUACACUGUCAUGCACUCUUGUCCAACUCCAUGAUGAUAUAGGAAUUGGCAUUACUGCACUCAAUCUCAUCUUUACAACUGUAUAAUUUAUUGACAACUUCUCAUAUGCCCAUCAUCAUAUUCUUUUUGCAAAUGCUUCUGACACGGUGCUUGAAUUAGUGGAACUGUGGCCUCAGAUGUUUGGCCAGUUUCAAUAAAUAGAAGCAGUAUGAUGCACUGUUCCUUUGUGAAAUAUACCUUUCAUCCGUCUUGAGGUUAUCUUGGGUGGAAGGAACUAUUUUCAAUGGUGGCAAUUGAUGCUGAAGUACCAGAAUUAAGGGGGUAACAUGGGUCCUCGCAUAUGUCAUUGAGUUCCAUGGUCAUUUCGUCUAUGAAAGGGGGAUUAGAGGGCCGAGGGAGAUGUUCCUCAGUUGUUAGCAUUUGUAGAGCCUUUGACAUUGUUGGUCGAAGUGAUGGGAUUUCUUGGGUGCACAGAAGGCCCACAUGCACUGCUCUCUUAACAUCAUUCAUAACAUUGUUAUCAUGGUGGUUAUGCAGCAUCAGAUUUGGGUCAUAAAGCUCCUCCACAGUUUCUGCCUGGAAUUUUUUCCACGUCUGUUUUCUCCAACAAAAGAGAGGAUUUAUGGAUAAGUUAAAAGACCGGCCUUUCUUAAAUACUUUUAAAUUAAAGACAACAAGGAAGUUUUAUGGAAAGCAUCUGAAACUUACUAGUAUGACUAGACUCUCCGUGUAUUCUGAGUUUUUGCUCCUGUUAUUCUGCCUUCCUGUAACAAUCUCCAACAAAAGCACCCCAAAGCCGUAGACAUCUACCUUUUCUGUUAACUGACCAUGGGCUAGGUAUUCCGGAGCCAUGUAACCUCUGCAAAUUAUUUGAAUUCAUUGCUUGUUCGAAUAUUCAAGGACUUUAAUUUGCAUUUAAAGUACUGCAAGAUUUCUGGGCCAGCUAAUUGUCUUUCGAGCACUUUGGAAAUAUCUGAAAGAAAGAUACUUACAAUGUUCCUGCAAUGGCUGUGCUGAUGUGACUCUUAUCAUCUUGGAAAGACCUGGCUAACCCAAAAUCAGCAAUUUUAGCGCGAAGCCUUGAAUCUAACAAGAUAUUGCUGGCCUUUAUAUCUCUGUGAAUGAUUCUGAUACUGGAGUUCAUAUGAAGGUAGGCUAAACCUUCUGCAGUGCCAGUAAUUAUCUCAUAUCUCUUCUCCCAGGUCAGCUCCUUGCCUUUGUUCUGAUCUGCCACAUUUAGAUAUGCAAAACACCAUCAAGUUCCAUUUCAGUCAGCAUUCCAACUCCGACACAGACUUAAAACAGCGACAAUAUCAGCAAUGCAGUAAGGCAAGUAUUCUUUGUUGGUACUCUAUUGAUAGCAUUUUUGCAAUAUCAGAAUUAAGGUUUAAAUGUAGAUUUAUAGCAUUUACCGAAGAUGAAACGAUCGAGACUCCUGUUAGGCAGGAAUUCAUAGACGAGAAGGCUUUCAGGUCCAGAACAACUGCACCCCAACAACCUGACCAGAUUUUUGUGUUCCACACUACUUAUCAUGUUUACUUCAUUGUAGAAAUCCGCAGCUCUAUGUCUGUUGUUAAAGAAGAGCCUCUUCACUGCAAUCUCCCUUCCAUCAGGUAAAGCUCCCUGCAAUGAACAAAUAAAACUUAAGACAAACCCUGGUAUAAUUUAGUUCUUAGAAGAAUUUGAUUGGUACUAACAUAUCAUAAUGAAACUAGUAGAGAACAACCUUGUAAACAGAUCCAAAUCCUCCUUGUCCAAGCUUGUUGGUUUCGUCAAAAGAUCCAGUACCCUUCUCUAGUGUCGAGUACUUGAAGUUCAAGCUACUGUCAUUGAGGGUUCUGGCCAACUUUUGAGCCUCAUUAGAACCUGUAAGAUGAAGACACAAGCAUCCCAGAAGUCAAGGAAAAUGUCAAAGAUAACCAAUACAGUUAUAAGUUGUCAGAUUAUGAGCGUUAUAUAUUUUCCGAAGCAGAUAACACAAGCUAAGGAAGUUUGUUACCUCUUCUUUUCUUCAUUAUAUAUCUGCGUUUCCAUAUAUAAACUCCUAUAGAUACUCCAAGUCCUAAAACCACCAGAGAGCUGAUAACUGAAACAACUAUUAUUACAAUGCUCCCUGCAGUUCAUUCAUCCAGAUGCAUGAAUCACGAGGCCAAGUUUAUUAGUGUAUGAACUUCAAAUAUAUACAUGAACCGCAUUCAGUCAUAGCAACUUUGCAAUACAAGAGAAUGCAAUUCCUUUACCUCUGGAACUUCCAUUCCCAAGUUCGUCGUUGAGAAAAUCUAUAUCCGAGUACCUCAUGAAACACCCAGUAUAUAGUGCUCUGCCCUCCGACCAAGGCAAACAUCCCAAUAUAGAUGCAGUGGCAUUCUCCAAGCAUGCCCUGCAAGAGCUUGCAUUUAAUGUCUUCCAGCAAUUAGCUAACACAUAAGCUGACUCAUUUGUGCCCGGAACUGUGAGCUGUACCCGUGCAUAACCUUGAUUAUUUGAUGCGCUAGUGACUGCUUGUGAGACAGCCUGCCUUGUCGAUUCCGCAAAGGUUGAACUCUUACGCGUUGUAUUUCCACAAACAGCCUUAUCUCCAGGUCCUAGAUAUUCUUCAUAGAAACUAUAAUUCUCAGCUCGCAUGAAGCAACCAUCAAGGUAAAUGCGACCCCCAUUAUAAGGAUAGCAUUGUGGAAGAACCGUACGUGCCUCGGCGUAGCAUAGCACACAGUCAAGUAACGACAGGUCCCCAUAGCAUUGGGCAAGGCCAUAGUUAAUGUCAGGUCCAGAGCCUGAAACUGCAACUCCAAAGCCUGACGCACGCAUCUGGUCACUGAUGUUUCCCAUUGUGGCUACAAAAUUUGGCACGAAGAUAGUUGCGUUGUGCUCCAGUUGGCGUCCACACAUAACUUGGACCGUCUGGGAUCUAGGAUCUCCGACCACCACCCGUUCACGCAACAAAACAUACCCAAAAAAGCAGAAGAAAAUACUUUGGUAAGGGAUCGAUUGGUUUGCUUUUGUCAUCUUUGGCUUCGAUUAUAGGAUUGGCUGUGCAAGGUGGAUCAGGUCGUUAGAAAAUCUCAAGUCAUGACUAAGAUCGAAAAGGGUUAGCACGUCGAGAGUAAUGAAAACACAACAAAGACCAGAACUGUCAAAACUAUGGAUUGAGUAAUCACUCGAGAAAGGGAAAUGGGCUGGGCAUAAAUAAAGCGUGGAGUUGUUGCCGGCUUUUUAUUUGUGGCACACUCGAACAGAUUGCAGAUCAUGGGUUCCUUCAUUUUUCAAGUCAAAAAAAGUAGGUACUCUUUUGGUGCCAAACAGCCCAGAUGGAGUUUCCUGAUUUCACACCUGUUUUUCUUCACCAUUUUCACACGAUAUAUCUCACAAAGAAGGAAACAAGAUGAAAAGAAAAAAACCACCUCGGCCGUGAGUAUGCGUGUUGGGCAAGAUCCAAUGGUACUAGAAACCCGAUGCUCAUCUUGAUUAAAGAAGAAUUUGCCG